ensembl:rRNA 5S_rRNA 5S ribosomal RNA
GCUUACGGCCAUACCACCCUUAGGCACGCCCGAUCUCGUCUGAUCUCGGAAGCUAAGCAGGGUCGGGCCUGGUUAGUACUUGGAUGGGUGACCGCCUGGGAAUACCAGGUGCUGUAAGCA